rnacentral:rRNA from 1 species
AUUGAACGCUGGCGGCAGGCCUAACACAUGCAAGUCGAGCGGGGUUUUCGGACCUAGCGGCGGACGGGUGAGUAAUGCGUAGGAAGCUGCCCGAUAGAGGGGGAUACCAGUUGGAAACGACUGUUAAUACCGCAUAAUGUCUACGGACCAAAGUGUGGGACCUUCGGGCCACAUGCUAUCGGAUGCGCCUACGUGGGAUUAGCUAGUUGGUGAGGUAAUGGCUCGCCAAGGCGACGAUCUCUAGCUGGUUUGAGAGGAUGAACAGCCACACUGGAACUGAGACACGGUCCAGACUCCUACGGGAGGCAGCAGUGGGGAAUAUUGGACAAUGGGCGCAAGCCUGAUCCAGCCAUGCCGCGUGUGUGAAAAAGGCCUUCGGGUUGUAAAGCACUUUCAGCGAGGAGGAAGGGUGGUGUGUUAAUAGCACAUCAUUUUGACGUUACUCGCAGAAGAAGCACCGGCUAACUCUGUGCCAGCCGCCGCGGUAACAC